GACGAACGCUGGCGGCGUGCUUAACACAUGCAAGUCGAACGGAAAGGCCCUGCUUGCAGGGUACUCGAGUGGCGAACGGGUGAGUAACACGUGGGUGAUCUGCCCUGCACUUCGGGAUAAGCCUGGGAAACUGGGUCUAUUACCGGAUAGGAGCCAUUUUUAUUGUGAUGGUUGGAAAGUUUUUUGGGUUUGGGAUGAGCUCGCGGCCUAUCAGGCUGGUGGUGGGGUAAUGGCCUACCAAGGCGGCGACCGGUAGCCGGCCUGAGGGGGUGGACGGGCAAAAUGGGGACUGGGAUCGGGCCAGGACCCCUAGGGGAGGAAGCAGGGGGGAAAUUUGACCAAGGGGGGGAGCCUGAUGCAGCGACGCCGCGGGGGGGAUGACGGCCUUCGGGUUGGAAACUCCUUUCGCUAGGGACGAAGCUUUUUGUGACGGUACCUAGAUAAGAAGCACCGGCUAACUACGUG
rnacentral:rRNA from 1 species